rnacentral:rRNA from 1 species
AAUCGAACCCGGAGAUAGCUGGUUCUCCUCGAAAUAGCUUUAGGGCUAGCCUCAUGGAUCAUUGAUGGGGGUAGAGCACUGAAUGUGCGCGGGGGCCACAAAGCCUACCAAACGCUAUCAAACUUCGAAUACCAUACAAUGCAGACCAUGGGAGUCAGUCCGCGAGAGAUAAGUUCCGCGGGCAAAAGGGGAACACCCCAGAUCAACCGCUAAGGUCCCCAAGUUCACGUUAAGUGGAGAAGGAUGUGGAAUUGCACAGACAACCAGGAUGUUGGCUCAGAAGCAGCCACACAUUUAAAGAGUGCGUAAUAGCUCACUGGUCGAGUGAUUGUGCGCCGAAGAUGUCCGGGGCUAAACGUGACACCGAAGCGAUGGGUGCAUCUGAAGAAGAUGCGCGGUAGAGGAGCAAUGUGCAGAGGCAGAAGCCGUAUCGAGAGGCACGGUGGACACUGCACAAGAGAGAAUGCCGGUAUGAGUAGCGAGAGGCAUGCGAGAAACAUGCCCGUCGAAAGCCCAAGGUUUCCUGGGGAAGGUUCAUCCGCCCAGGGUAAGUCGGGGCCUAAGCCGAGGACGGAAGUCGUAGGCGAUGGACAGCAGGUGUAGAUUCCUGCACUACCGAUGGAAUGAAGCAGUGACACAGAAGGAUAACUCGAGCAGGGUGAUGGUCAACCCUGUGCAAGCAUCGAGGUUGGGUUGUAGUGAAGUACGCAAUCCUACAAGCUGAGGUGUGAUGCGGACCGAAAUUUCAGUAGGGAAGCGAGUGAGUUCACGCUGGCGAGAAAAGCUGCUAGUACAUCCAAAGGUACCCGUACCGGAAACCGACGCAGGUGGGCGAGGAGAGAAUCCUGAGACGAACGGGAGAACCCUUGUUAAGGAACUCGGCAAAAUGACCCCGUAACUUCGGGAUAAGGGGUGCCUGCGAGAGCAGGCCGCAGAGAAUAGUCACAAGCGACUGUUUAGCAAAAACACAGGUAUCUGCGAAAGCGAGAGCUGACGUAUAGGUGCUGACACCUGCCCGGUGCUGGAAGGUUAAGGGAACAUGUUAGAGCAAUCGAAGCAUCGAACCGAAGCCCCAGUAAACGGCGGCCGUAACUAUAACGGUCCUAAGGUAGCGAAAUUCCUUGUCGGGUAAGUUCCGACCCGCACGAAUGGUGUAACGACUUGUGAGCUGUCUCAACAGGGGGCCCGGUGAAAUUGAAGUAUGGGUGAAGAUGCCCAUUACCCGCGACUGGACGGAGAGACCCCGUAGAGCUUUACUGCAGCCUGAUAUUGAGUUUCGGUAACUGAUGCACAGGAUAGGUGGGAGUCUGAGAGACACGGGUUUCGGCUCGUGUGGAGACGCUGUUGGGAUACCACUCUUCGGUUACUGAAAUUCUAACAUAGCUCUGUGAAACCAGAGGAUGGACAGUGUCAGGUGGACAGUUUGACUGGGGCGGUCGCCUCCGAAAGAGUAACGGAGGCGCCCAAAGGUACCCUCAGAAUGGAUGGAAACCAUUCGAAGAGCGCAAAGGCAGAAGGGUGCCUGACUGCGAGAUUGACAAAUCGAGCAGAGACGAAAGUCGGGCUUAGUGAUCCGGCGGUAUUGAGUGGAAAAGCCGUCGCUUAACGGAUAAAAGCUACCUCGGGGAUAACAGGCUGAUCUCCCCCAAGAGUCCACAUCGACGGGGAGGUUUGGCAC